UACGAAGGGUGCAAACGUUGCUCGGAAUUAUUGGGCGUAAAGCGCACGUAGGCGGCUUUGCAAGUCGGAUGUGAAAUCCCUCGGCUUAACCAAGGAAGUGCAUCCGAAACUGCAGAGCUUGAGUACUUAAGAGGAUCGCGGAAUUCCCGGUGUAGAGGUGAAAUGCGCAGAUAUCGGGAAGAACACCCGUGGCGAAGGCGGCUCUCUGGGACGGUACUGACGCUGAGACGCGAAAGCGUGGGGAGCGAACAGG
rnacentral:rRNA from 1 species